UGUCAUAUCACGUCGAAACACCGGUUUUCAUCUGAUCACCGAAGUUAAGCAACGUUGAGCCUGGUACCUACAUGGGUGACUACUUGUGAAUACCUGAUACUGUAA